GCCCGGUUAGCUCAAUCGGUAGAGCGUGAGACUCUUAAUCUCAAGGUUGCGGGUAAGUUCAUCUGGUCUUUAGGUAUCAUUAAAAAACUAAAAAUUCUAACAAUGAAAUCAGGUUCGACCCCCGCAUCGGGCU